CGUAGGUGGCAAGCGUUGUCCGGAAUUAUUGGGCGUAAAGCGCGCGCAGGCGGUCCUUUAAGUCUGAUGUGAAAGCCCACGGCUCAACCGUGGAGGGUCAUUGGAAACUGGGGGGCUUGAGUACAGAAGAGAAGAGUGGAAUUCCACGUGUAGCGGUGAAAUGCGUAGAGAUGUGGAGGAACACCAGUGGCGAAGGCGACUCUUUGGUCUGUAACUGACGCUGAGGCGCGAAAGCGUGGGGAGCAAACAGGAUUAGAUACCCUGGUAGUCCACGCUGUAAACGAUGAGUGCUAAGUGUUAGAGGGUUUCCGCCCUUUAGUGCUGCAGCUAACGCAUUAAGCACUCCGCCUGGGGAGUACGGCCGCAGGGCUG
rnacentral:rRNA from 1 species